rnacentral:lncRNA from 1 species
CAGCCUCCCAAACCAUUAGGAUUACAGGCAUGGACCACCAUGCCUGGCUAGAUGCUAGAAGUUUUUAUUGUACAUUCUAUAUAUAGUCAGAUCCACAAAUAUUAAUUGUACAGAAUGAAGAAUUUUGACCAAUGUAUAGAUUAUAGAUCCCAGUAACCAUCACCUAGAGCAAGAUUUCAGAUAUUUCCACCAGCCCUAAAUUCCCUUGGGCUCCCUCACAGUCAGUCCCCACCCCAGAGGCAACCAUGGUACUGGUUUCUAUCACCGUAGGUUAGUUUCCUGAGCAUGCAUGUGAGCUUUACAAAUUUAAAAGAAAUACAUCUCCUACUGUAGAAGGAGGAAGUAGACCAAAAAUUCUUACUGUACAAAGAAGGUUACUUGAACUAAAAACAAAACAAAACAAAAACCUAAGGAAUCAUUGGCCAGAGAAACAGGAGGUUUUGGAGCCAACCCAAUGCCUUAGCAUUGGGACAGAGGGCUUGGGACACUUCUUGGAGCAGAGGCUGUGAGUGGUGGGGGGUGGGGAAGAGGACCAGCCAGGCUCCUCUGUAUUCUGAUAAAAGGUUCCUCCCCUGCCCAGCAACUGCCUGAGUUUUGAGCAAGGCCAAGGCCAGGAGGAAGGACGCUCUCAAGGGCAUCUGCCCAGAGACAGGGAGAAGUUAGGGCCCCUGGGCAGUUAAGUUAUUUGUCUUUCCUGCCUUCCCUUUCAAGGUCUGUCUGAUUUUGUGCCUCCUUCACACUUUGUCCUGCCUGGGGAGGGGAGAGGCUGAGGCUCUCAAAGGGACUUAGAAGGAGAGAGACAGAGUUCUGCCUGCCUGCCUUUUUUCCAAAACACCGAUUUGAGCGCCUACAUUGUGCGGCAGCUCCUGCCAGCUGCUGGGGAUCGGAGAAUGACAGACAUGUUUUAGCUCGCUAAGGAGUCAGAAUUGGCUCCAGGUGAGGCAAGGCCUCUACCUCCUUCAUGGUGGAGAUGAUGGCCCAAACAGGUGACUUAUUCAGGAACAACCAUCUGUUGGAACAGGGAGGCAAAGAAUGGUGCCCCCUGAUUCAACCCUAGCCAGGAAUAAGAAAGCAAAGGAAAUAAAACCUAUGUCCUUGUCUGGGCUUUCUCCCUUGCAGAUUUCCUGGGGCAGUGGAAAGAGCACUGACCCGAAGUCAGAAGACCUCAUUUCUGCUUCUAGGUCUUAGAAGCACUUCCUCUUUCUGGGCCCCAGUCUUUUCCAGGGAACAUGAAGAAGGCCGUCUCCAGAGGCCUUCAAAGGGUGCCUCCAACUCUGCCUUACCUGAGUGUACCCUGCAUUUUUCUGCCUCAGUGCCUUUGCUCAGGUCAUUUCUGCCACUGAAAGCCCCUUCCCUCCUGCUUCCUUCUUCUGACAGUCUCUUCAUCACGUAUGACCUAGUUAAGGUGCUGCUCCUGGAGACCCCCAGUCUUUAGGGAUCUGUGAGUGUGUCAUCCAGAUCCCCACUCCCAGAACAGAGCCUCCUCACAGUGAAAGUUAAGUGCAUAUAUCUACCUUGAAUUUUUAGGCAUUGGUUCUCAACUUUUUAAAAUUUCAAUUCACUUAGAGAAGUUAAGACUCCUCAAUUUAUAGGCCUCAUGUUUUCUUACUUUGUGUUGGAAAAAAAGUACUUGGUAAUCAAAAUUGGAGAGAACUAGAAGAGAAAUUUUUAUUAUUUUAUGUUUGAGUAUAUACACAUGUAUAUAUGCAGAGGAGUACUACCUGUCUGAUCUUCUUGCUGUGUGCCCUGUUUUGGUCACUAAUACCAGGUGGCAUGGUGGCUUGGGGCAGAUACCUGGGGGCCACUGCAGAUUCUCCCCUCUCCUAUACCAUCCCACCAGACCUCAUGUCCCAUGGGGUUUUCUUGUCCCAUCUAGACCCUCCUCAGGCCUCAUUAUCACUGCCUUCCUGUGGGUCAGAACCUCCCUCCCAGGGCUUCUAAUGGCAGAGGGAGGGCAGGAAAUCCCCCAGGCUUAUCCCAUGCUCCUGCAUCCUCCACGCUGCUGCCAGAAUGGUCGGCCUCAAAUACACAGCUCAUCUGCAACUUAGGAUCCUUCACUGGCUCAAAUGGAGGCCUGAAUUCCCGGCAUGGCACAGCCAGCCAUAUGCAGAACAAGCAACUCUCAGCCUGUCCACGACUCAUGUUAGAGCCUUACUCAGUACCCCUCCCCAGCUCACCAUGCUGGUGUUCACCUCCAAGCCUUGUGUGUGCUAUUCCCAGGCUGCCUUCCCUCCGUGACCUAGCAAGGACCUUCUCAUCUCUCCAGAUUGAAGAGGUCCUUCUUGGCCUCUGUGAGAGCACAUUUUGUAAUAAUGCUCACCAUCAUUAUUUAAAAGCCAGUGUUUCUACAGGCACACACCAGGCACCAUUCUGCUGUUGUGAUGCUGUGUGUGUGUGUGUGUGUAUACAUAUAGAUCAACUUAUUUAAUCCUCAUAACAACCUUGAUAGGUACUAUCAUUACUAUCUCCAUCUUAUAGAUGGGAAAACUGAUACACAGAGAGUUUAAGUGACUAUCUGGAGGGACAUGCCAAGUAAGUGAUAAAGUGGGAUCUUUCCACAGCCAGUUCUGCAGAAGGAUCUAUGCAGUUAAAUCCAGCACCGUGCUGUGCCUCUUCAUUCACUGUUAGGGGUAGUUUGCCAACUUGAAUAGCUUUGAGCAACCAACAUCCACUGACAGGUGAUGAAAGAACAAAUUCAUUAACAUUUAAUGGGGGCUGGGGUUGUAGCUCAGUGGUAGAGCACUUGCCUAGCAUAUGUGAGGCACUGAGUUCAAUCCUCAGCACAUAAAAAUAAAUUAAUUAAAUAAAUCUAUUUUUUAAAAAUUUAAUCAGAUGAAGAAAUAAGUCUCAUCUUCAUUUAUGUAAGAUGUCUGUCAUACCAAAGCCAUUUUAUUUUUUAAUAAACAUAGAAUAUUUUAAACCUGUAAUCCCAGUGAUUUGGGGGCCUGAGGCAGGCAAGUUUGAGGUCAGCCUACACAAUUUAUCCAGACUCUGUCUCAAAAAAUAAAAAAGGGCUGGGGAUGUAGCUCAAUGGUAGAGGGCAUCUGAGUUUAAUUCCCAGUACCCACUCCAACAAGACUAUUUAGGGAAAACAAGACCUGAGAGUAAAAUCCCAUACAUCUUCUGUCUUUUAAAAUGGAAUUCCUAGAAUCUCCAAGCCUAUGUUUUUUCUAGUUAGUCAAGAGAGUCGUCCCUUUGGGCUGGGGAUGUGGCUCAAGUGGUAGCGCGCUCGCCUGGCAUACGUGCGGCCCAGGUUCGAUCCUCAGCACCACAUACAAAC